UCUCAGGUAGAUUGUUUUGUUGUUUGAGUUUCAUUUUCCUUAUUUAUGAAGCACUUUGGAUUGCUGGUAAAAUCUUCCAUUGUUGGUAGAAACUGCAAAUGACUUCUUGAGCAAUAUUAAGCUGGAUCAUCAGAUUGAAGAGGCAGGGCCACCGGUUUCAAACCUGAUCUUCAAAAGCAGCGGAUUGUGCACAUAGAGGGGAUUAUGUGGUUGCCUGGAAAUCAGGAGCCAGAGUUUCCGUGGUCUCAUCAGUCUGGUCAGUGUUUCGCCUGCAGCAGCUUUGAUAUUAGCAAAGCACAGAUCCACUCAAACGCCUGCAACCAGAAUGAACAAAACCAGAACCAAAAUGGCCCAAAGUAAAAGUCAGCAAUGCUUAAGUGCCUAUGGAGCCUAAGAGUGAAGCCUCGUGAACCCGUCUCCUACAUUACAGAAUUCGGACAAGCCCAACCUCCAGGAGGGAGCCAGAGCUACUGGGAGUUUGAGAGUGCUACCGCCCC